AAUGAACUUAUUUGCAGAACAGAAGCAGACUCACAGGCUUUGAAGGCAAACUUAUGGUUACUAAAGGGUUACUCUAUCCAUCACAGAGAGAACAAAACUGAGACUCAGGACAUGAAGUACUAGCUGGUGGGCAGAGCUGGGAAUCAGAGGGUUCCCUAGAGCUAGGUACUGGCAUUUAUCUCAGGGGUGAGCCAGCAACUGGCUCCAGGGAGGCAUCCGGCAGAACACCUGGUCCAGGCUGUCCUUAUUUAACACCUAUUCUUAAUAACUUGGAAGCAAGCAAGCUCUGUGGGUGCUGCAAAGACUGGAGGCGGAAACCAGAGCAGACGUCCAAAGGAGCUGGUGCAGGCACGAGGGAAGAACUGAGAUCGUGUGGGGAAGUACAAACCAAACUAGCCACAGGGAGCUGAUCCACAGCAAAGGCAGAGCGGUCAGGAGAGAAAGGACAGCUGACAGAUUGAAAAGGGACGGAUGGACUCUGUAACGUGAUGAGGCAGCCUCGAGACCAAGGCUAUUCUGGGCUGCACUCACUAGAGCUGUGAAGUAGAGGCAGGGCCUGCUCCCUGCUUCAUGUUUCCAGAGACAUACACACUCUUCGAUAUUGAUUCCAUGACACAUGCACAUGCACACACACUUAGUUACUGAGCCCAUCUCUCUCUCUCACAGACACACACUCACACACACACACACACACACACACUCUUUGAUAUUGAUCCCAUGACACAUAUGCACAUGCACACACAAUUCUAUACUGAGCCCAUAUCUCUCUCUCUCUCUCACACACACACACACAUACACACAUUAAUGCUAACCCCCAUAAAACACAUACAAACACACAAAACUUUGAUAUUGACUCCCCCUCACACACACACAAACACUUUGAUACUGACCCCAUUGCUCUCUCUCCCUUACACACACACACACACACACACACACACACUUUAAUGCUGACCCAAUAAAAUACACGCAGUUUGAUACUGACCCCCAAACACACAUGCAUAUAUUUUGGUACUUACCCCUUGACAAAUAUGCACCUACAUAUAUACACACACACUUUGAUUCUGACCCCAUGACACACACACACUUUGAUGCUAACUCCAUCACACACACACACACUUUGACAGUGACCUCCAUGAAACACACACGUUUUGACAUUGACUCUCAUGACACUCACAAUAUACAUACACACACACACAUUUUGAUAUGGACUACCACCACACCCCAUGAAUCUUUUUAACUUUCUUCCUUUCUAGGUUUUACCGGUGCAUUUCCUACUGUCUUUAAAAGCAGUUGUGGGGCUAUUGCACUUGUAGAAUGUGCAUGUAGUUGGGAGUGGAUGGGGAGGCAGCAAGUAAGUAACUGAAUGAAGUAGCACUCAGCCACCCUGAUGAGUUAGUCCUAAGUUCCAGAAGACCUGUCUUUAGUUGGAAGCUCUGAUCCUUCAUCCAGAGGCAAUGCAGCCUAGCGGUAAAAAGCAGGAGCCUCCUAAAUAGACAUUUCUCCAAAGACAUACAGGUGGCCAGCAGGCACAUGAAAAAAUGCUCAAUAUCACUAAUUAUUGGAGGAAUGCAUAUAAAAACUAUAGUGAGGUACCACCUCACACCAGUCAGAAUGGCCAACAUUAAUAAGUCCACAAAUUACAAAUGCUGGAGAGGGUGUGGAGAAAAGGGAACACUCCUACACUGUUGCUGGGAAUUUAAACUGGUACAACCAUUAUGGAAAACAAUACAGAAGUUCCUCAGAAAAUUAAAUAUAGAAUUAGAUGUAUCAGGAUAAAACUUUCAUUCAAAAAGAUACAUGCACCCCUAUGUUCAUUGAACACUAUUCACAAUAGCCAAAACAUGGAAACAACCCAAAUGUCCAUUGACAGCUGAAUAGAUUAAGAUGACGUGGUACAGGGAGUUCCUGUCAUGGCUCAGUGGAAACAAAUUUGACUAGCAUCCAUGAGGACGUGGGUUUGAUCCCUGACCUUGCUCAGUGGGUUGGGGACCCAGUUUUGCUGUGAGCUGUGGUGUGGGUCACAGACAUGGCUCAGAUCCCAUGUUGCUGAGGCUGUAGUGUAGGCCAGCAGCUACAGUUCUGAUUCAAUCCCUAACAUGGGAACUUCCAUAUGCCUCAGGUGUGGCCCUUAAAAAAAAAAAAAAGGAUGAUGUGGUACAUAAUUUAUUCAAUGGAAUUCUACCUGGCCAUACAAAAGGACAAAAUAAUGCUAUUUGCAGCAACACAGAUGGAACUAGAGAUUCUCAUACUAGGUGAAUAAGAAAAAGACAAAUACCGUACAAUAUCACUUAUACGCGGUAUCUAAAAUAUGACACAAAUGAUCCUAUCUACAAAACAGAAACAGAUCAUGGACAUGGAGAGCAGGCUUGUGUUUGCCAGGGGCAGAGGGAAGAGAAGCGUAUAUGGACGGGGAGUUUGGGGUCGGUAGAUGCGAACUAUUACACUGAGAGCGGAUAAGUAAUGGGGUCCUACUGUACGGCACAGGGAACUGUGUACAGUCUCUUGGGUUAGAACAUGACGGAAGAUAGUAUUAGGAAAAGAAUAUAUAUAUAUGUCUGCCUGGGUCCUUUUGCUGUACAACAGAAAUUGAAGGAACAUUAUAAAUCAACGAUGCUUUAAUAAAAAAUUAGAAAAAGGAGUUCCCAUAGUGGCGCACUGGUUAAAUGGGCUCAGGGAUAUACUGGGCUUUAGAGCCAGGCAUACCUCUGUGCAUCUCUGAGUCUGGCACCGUGGAGAGGGUCCUCACACGUGGGCACCUUGGGAGGCAAAGCUUUGCUGUGUUCUGCCAAUCCCAAACCCUGUGACCUCCUGUGCCUCCUGAGGCCUAAAGGACAUACUCACAUGUGACAAAGCAUACGGAUCAACUCAUCAAGACUGUGGGUCUGCCUGUGACCAGGCGAGGGGAAGAGAGGUGAGAGUCUCUGAGAGUUUCAUGUUUCUCCCUCUUUAUUUGAGGGACUUAUGCAAUGCCUGCCAGAAGCAAAAAGAUGGUUCUGGACACUUUCAGCAGGCUGUUUCCCGGGAAGAGGGAAGGAACACCUGUGGCAUCCCAGCUGGAAGGGCCCUCUGGGGUUGUGCAGGCCACCUCUCAAAAGUUCAAGAGCCAGCAAUGCUUGUCUGCAGUCCCUCACUAAGGUAGGUGACAGGCAAACCCACCACCAUCCUCAGACCUGUCAGCCAGGGCUUUCCACUCCCAAGUCCUAGGGGAAUAGGGUGAAUCUUGGAAUGUAAGAGAGACAAGCCAUCAGGAGAAUCUUUCUUUUUCAAACUCAAGCAAGGAAAAUCAGAGAGAGAGAAAAUUCAUUAUGCCAUUAUUUUCCAUCUGCAGAACUGACUAAGCAAAAUUAUGGACAGGCAAAGACUGAUCUUUCUCCUGAUCUAGAGCCUGAAUUUGUUCCUGUAGUUUUUGAUUUAUUCAAUUAAUAAAAUGCUUACAUGCCAUUUUUCCUUUAUAAUUAGCAGAUAGAUUUCUCCAAGAAAUGUCCCAAUGCCUGCACUUUUGAACUGAUUAUGACUCUCUGUGGGUGAUUUUUGUGCAUUUUGGAAUGUGAAUCAUUUGACAGCCCUUUUAAAAGUGUUUACUGGAGUUCCCGCUGUGGCGCAAUGGGAUCUGUGGCAUCUCUGCAGCACCAGAACAUGGGUUUGAUCCCUGGCCCAGCACAGUAGGUUAAAGGAUCUGCAUUGCUGCAGGUGUGGCAUAGGUCACAACUACCACUAGGAUCUGAUGCCUGGCCAGGGGAAUUCCAUGUGCAGCAGGGCAGCCGAAAAGAGAAAACAGUUGUUUAUUGCUAAGGAUUGUAAUGUUCUCUCUCAGUAGAGAAGGAGGGUAUGGUCUCUCCUUCCCUUACCCUUUUCAUCUUUCUAGCAGGGCUGCUUGAGAAGCUGACCUGGCAAAUCCUUCUUUGAGAACAUUUCUUCACUUAGUUUUAUAUGAAAGAGAGGCUAAAACGUUUUGCCAGCUUCCAAGAAGACCAGUGGGGAAGACAGAGUUACUGCCACUCAGAAGCUGGUUAAGGGGUGUCCAGGCGCCUUUCACAUCAAGUAAGCAAGCCACGGUUCUCUCUAGCAUAGCACGUGCUCUAUGAGUUGUGCAAUCUCAGUAAGCCACAUAAACUCUCUGGAUAUCACCUUCCUUAUUUCACCAAUGGGAAUAUUCAUAGCUUUGUAUGGUUGUGGUGGGGGUGAAAUGGCAUAACGUGUGACAAAGGGCUUUGGAGAGGCAACAAACCAUACAGAUGCAAGGGAUAAAUUUUUUUUUCUCUUUAGGGCCGCACCCUCGGCAUAUGGCAGUUCCCAGGCUAGGGGUCGAAUCAGAGCUACAGCUGCCAGCCUAUGCCACAGCCACAGCAAUGCAGGAUCCCAGCCGUAGCUGAGACCUACACCACAGCUAACAACAAUGCCGGAUCCUUAACCCACUGAACAAGGCCAGGAAUGGAACCUGCAUCCUCAUGGAUCCUAGUCGGGUCGUAAACCACUGAGCUACAAAGGGAACUCUGAAAGGGGUAAUUUUUAUUCUGUUACAUCUGUCUGUCCUCAACUGGGAUCGGUCUGGAGAAUUUUAUUUCCCCAGAUGAAAACUUCUUUGCUUCCAAGUUAAAAUGGUUACAUUUCAUCAAGGACUGUGGGAUAAAGGCAUGGGUCUUCCACUCUCACUGACAAUGGAACUGUAUCUCUUGGAGACAAGACUGGAUGUUAUAUGUGUACCACUGGUACUAAAAACUUUUCUAGACAUUAGGUCCUUGGACUUAAAAAUUACUGCCUUAAAAAUGCUUUUCCUCUGCACUUUUGCAGAGCUGUUCUGCACCCACAGAGAGCUGGCCAGCAUGGAGCUCAGACACAGGAGUUCCAUGGAAUUUCAGACACAAGAUUUGCUUGUUGUCAGAGAAUAUUUCAUGAAAGUUGCAGGGACUUGAGGGGAUGGAGUCGAGAGGACUUCACGAUACUGACCAGUUUAUUCAGAGAAUCACAAACACUAAAUUUGGAAAGUUAUCUGGGCCAAACUCUUCAUUUUAAGAUGAGAAACUAUGGCUUAAAAUAGGUUAUCGUCUAUGCAGUUACUUUGGGAAAACAUACGUUUUUUUUUUUUUUUCUGAUUUCCAGGCCAAUGUUCUUUCCAUUACAUCAUUAAUAAUAUAAACGGCAUCAACAAUGACCACAACAGGUACUGUUUAUUGCGUAGUGAGUAUGUGUUAGACAUUGUGCCAAGCUAUUGACAUCCAUUCGCCCACUUAACUCCUGCAGCAAACCAGUGAGACAGAUACCAUUCCCAUUUUGCAGAUGAGGAAAAUGAAGCUCAGAAACAUUCAUUAUUUUCCCAAAGUCGGAGUACUGAUAUUUAUAUCCAUCCACAGUAUCGAGAGCCAGUAGGGAUGUAUGUGUCAGGGGUUGGUGCUAUGGUUUACAUACAGCAGUGUCUACAUUUUCUUACAUUUAGAGAUGAAAAUGACUCCUUACCCCCCACAUAUCAGGGGCCCUCUGAAUUGAAAAGUCAUGCAAAACUUACCCUGAAGCGCAGCCUGAUUUCAUAUUGAUGAGAACUAACUGGAAAUGAGGGUGUGGAGUUUCCCCAUUCUUCCGCAUGGCAGGCUUUUAGAAUACAGACACGAGAUGAGUCAGAAGAGAAAUGUGCAGGCUCCAGGCCACAAUGGAAAUACUCAUUUCCCCAAUUGCUCAGCAGCAAAACAUUGAGGCCAACUCUUUUGUGUACGAAGGAUGUUAAAAAGCAUUUUUCAGUCUUAGCAUUGCUUUUAAAAUCAUUAAACCAACUUCUGUUGCACCUGCUGUGGUUUCAUGCUAAGAUCCUACACUCAGGCUUUUUCUCCUCUUGCUUUAUGGGAAGUAUGGUGGAAAAUCACCAGGCCAGCAAACCUCAGUUGCCACUAUAAAUUUUCCUACUCCUUAAACUUGCCUUCAUAUUUUUCCAAUUUUUGUUAAAAAGCAUGAUUCCCCUAUAACAUCUUGCCUCACU
rnacentral:lncRNA from 1 species